GUUGUAGGUGGUGGUGAUGGUGGAGUUCUUAGUGAAAUCUCUCGCCACAAUACUGUGGAGCUCAUUGAUAUUUGUGAGAUUGAUAAGAUGGUUAUAGAUGUAUGUGGUGAAUGAUGUGCCCAUUCAUGUGAUUAGAUAUUAUUUGUGUUCUUUGUUAUGUAACGAGUAUGUUGCUGCAACUUCUUGCUUAUAGGUUAGUAAAAAGUUUUUUUUUUCCAGAGUUAGCUAUUGGCUUUGAGGAUCCUCGUGUGCAACUGCAUAUUGCUGAUGCUGUUGAAUUUUUACGGAAUGUACCUAAAGGAAAGUAUGAUGCAAUUAUUGUUGAUUCAUCAGACCCUGCAGGCACAUGAUUAUGCAUAUGGGUAGAUGUUAUAUAAUUUCGAACGCCAUGAUUAAGUGAUCCCAUAGUUAAGCCUGUAGUUGCUUUCAAGAUUUUGUUGAGGGAAUAGUUGAUAUGAUCGAGCGGUUGAUGUUGGGAGCCAAAUAUUAUGUUGCUCUUUUUUUUUUCUUUUUUUUUUUUGAAGACUUGAAUUUUUUAGUACAGUGUAUUUAAGGAUGGUUAA